rnacentral:rRNA from 1 species
AUUGAACGCUGGCGGCAGGCCUAACACAUGCAAGUCGAGCGGCAGCGGGACCUUCGGGUUGCCGGCGAGCGGCGGACGGGUGAGUAAUGCCUAGGAAUCUGCCUGUUAGUGGGGGAUAACGCGGGGAAACUCGCGCUAAUACCGCAUACGUCCUACGGGAGAAAGCGGGGGCUCUUCGGACCUCGCGCUAACAGAUGAGCCUAGGUCGGAUUAGCUAGUUGGUGGGGCAAUGGCCCACCAAGGCGACGAUCCGUAACUGGUCUGAGAGGAUGAUCAGUCACACUGGAGCUGAGACACGGUCCAGACUCCUACGGGAGUCCGCAGUGGGGAAUAUUGGACAAUGGGCGAAAGCCUGAUCCAGCCAUGCCGCGUGUGUGAAGAAGGUCUUCGGAUUGUAAAGCACUUUAAGUCGGGAGGAAGGGCUGUAGGCUAAUACCUUGCAGUUUUGACGUUACCGACAGAAUAAGCACCGGCUAACUUCGUGCCAGCCGCCGCCGUAA